GGCAUUUUAAUGCACUAAAUGAAUUUUAGUAGUUAGAUUUAUAUCUUUGACUUCUAGGAAUUUCAACUACAUUAGAGUUCAUAUACACAAAAGGGGCAAGCCCUUUUCCACAGCAUUUCCAGCUUCUCCACAGAAACCUAGCCCCACAUGAGCAAAAGAUCACACUCUGUGCUUCAUCAAAGAGAUUACACAAUUACAGAUUCCAGCAUCUCCCAGGAGUCCUUUGAAUUUGGAUUAAGGUCUAUAAUUACGUGGCUGAUGGAAUUUGAGAAAUGGCAGGUGUGAGGACUCUGACCUUCCCAUGAAGCAGGUCAUAAGACCCUCAUGUGAGAGAUGCCCUCUCUAUACCUGGAGAAAAGAAGCAGUCUUAUUUGUGAAGACAGAGAGACGCCAAGAGGAAUCUAAAUGAAUAGGCCUUGGAACCCCAGACGCACGGGCCUUGUGCUGUCGCUGCCGUGGCACCCCUUCUAGAAGGACUCUAUUCUCUAUAACAGAAGUGGGAGCCUUGGACAACUGAACGCCUAUCUCUAGCUCAAGAAAUGUCAGCUCUUUUUUUUUUUUUGAGACUGUCACCCAGUCGGGAGUACAGUGGCGCCAUCUUGGCUCUCUGUAACCUCCACCUCCUGGGUUCAAGCGAUUCUCCUGCCUCAGCCUCCUGAGUAGCUGGGGCUACAGGUAUGCACCAUCACUCCUGGCUAAUUGUUGUAUUUUUAGUAGAUAAUGGGGUUUCACCAUGUUGGCCAGGGUGGUCUCAAACUCCUGACCUCAGGUGAUCUGCCUGCCUCGGCCUCCCAAAGUGCUGGGAUUACAGACGUGAGCCACCAUGCCCAGCCAAGAAAUGUCAAUUCUUUAUCGUAGCCUGGCUUUCCAUAUUUCUCACUAGGGUUUUUAUUCUCUAGUUUGUAAAUCACAUUUGGCGUUUGUAGAUCACUCCUUCCCUUUUAGUGGCAUUCUCUAUUAGGUGUCCAUCUCCCAAUAUGAAGAAACAGUUUUCUGCUUUUUCCUCCUUUAUCUGAUCCAUUUACAGAUUUAUUACAUUUAUAAUAGGCUAGGUAUUGGGGAUACAAAAAUGAAUAAGAUAUGGUCUGUUUUCAAAGGUAUGCAGAAACUUUUCUAUAUAUUCCUACUGACUUGUAUUUGUAUUUCUUGAAUUAAAAACAAUCCUGGCUGUGUUUUUUUUUUUUUUUUUUUGCUCUUAGUGAAUCUUUGUUUCUUCUUUUCAUUAUGGCAUUCCAGUUGAGUUUCACCACGCAUUAUCAUGAGAAUAAAUAAUUUCACUGACUUUAAUAAUAUUUGAUCACUUAUGUUGAUGUCAUUUAACUCUCAUUUACAUUUCAGUGGUCUAAAACACAACUAAGAUACUAAAAGAAAAAUAAAAGAUGAGAUUAUUGGCAAAUAAUUACCAC
rnacentral:lncRNA from 10 species